AGGAAAUCCUGUGUGACCUCUCACCCCGUUCUCCCCUGAAAACACAGUCUGCCUGUCAGUGACGUUCAGGAGGUGGAAUGUUCAUCUGUGUUGUUGAACUCCUUACGUAACGUACCUCUGCUGCUAAUCAGUGUUUGAACAGGCCAUCUGAGGAGGUGGUGUUGGUGGAGGUAGUAGAAACAUCAGCAAGACUUAGCCAGGGUAUUGAUGGAAUGGAAGCCCUGUGACACAACAGACAGUAACAUACAGAGCGGCAGAGGGGAAAUCAGCAACAAUAAGCAUCUACUACAGGCGUAGACGUGUGAGACGAGGUGGAGUCCUGGUGAAAUUGAGGCGAAGAGAAAACCGAAAAAGCUGUAAUAUUUUGUCUUAUUGACACGUGUCUGGAUGAUGACGCUAUGCAUGUAGUACUCAGUGGUUCCUCCAUGCAGCAGCAGGAUCAGACGACGGCUUCGGGUAAGUUUAGUUUUUUGAUAAAUAGCAACUUGUCUGAUGCUUCAAGUGUGAAAGAAAUCUCAAGCUUUUGCUCACCUGAUAUAGAAUACCUCAUGGUAAGCUGCAGACCCUUUUAUCUACCAAGAGAGUUGGUGGAGACUUUCUAAUGCUGGGAGACUUAAAACCAUCCUACCUCACUUCUACCAACACGUCUCCUGCCCCACUAGGGCCCUAAAACUCUAGACCACUAUUAUUCUACACACAGAAACACAUACAAAGCCCUCCCUCAUUGUCAAAUCUAUUAUUCUACACACAGAAAUGCAUACAAAGCCCUCCCUCAUUCUCAAAUCUUGCGCAGACCUGCUGACAAGUGUCUUCACAGACAUUUUCAAUCUCUUCUUGUCCCAGUCAGUAAUCCCAACAUGUUUCAAGCUGACCACCAUUGUCCCUGUUCCCAAGAGCUCCAAGGUAACCUGCCUUAAUAAUGACUAUCGCCCUGUAGCACUCACAUCUGUAAUUAUGAAGUGCUUUGUAAGGCUUGUCAUGACACACAUCAACACCAUUAUCCCAGACACUCUAGAACCACUCCACUGCACCAACACCAUCAUCAAGUUUGCUGAAGACACGACAGUGGUAGGCCUGAUCACCGACGGCAAUGAGUCAGCCUACAGGGAGCAGGUCAGAGACUUAGCAGUGUGGUGCCAGGACAACAACCUCUCCCUUAAUGCCAGUAAGACCAAGGAGGUGAUCGUGGACUAUAGAAAAAAGAUGGGAGAGCAGUUCUUUGGCUUCCACAUCACUAAGGACUCAACAUGGUCCACACGCACCCAUACAGUCAUGCAGAGGGCACAGCAGCACCUUUUCCCUCUCAGGAGGCUGAAAAGAUUUGGCAUGGGCCAUCGGAUCCUCAAUAAGUUCUACAGCUGCACCACCGAGAGCAUCUUGACUUUCUGCAUCAUCGCUUGGUAUGGCAAAUGCACCUCCCUUGACCGCAAAUCUCUACAAAGGGUGGUGCGGACAGCCCAGUACAUCAUGGGGCCGAGCUCCCGGCCAUCCACGACCUCAAUAACAAGCGGUGUCAGAGGUGUCUGAGAGUGAACACGUUCCCUCUAUCAUAUAUACACAACAUAUCGCAUCUGAAUAACACAUUCACGCAAGCACAGACGCGCACACGCAGACUGUGACAGACAGACAGUACCUCCAGCACCCUCCCUUACCUCAUAUGCCUCCUACCCCUGCCCCCGAUAGGUUCCCCUUCUUUUUCUGUAUCGUUCACAGGAUGUUUUCUCUUCACUGAUUGGGCCACAAGCUUGUCUUCCCUGUUUCUAUUGGCCCUUGGCCAGAGUCCCGGUCUAUGGUUACGAGAUAAGACAAUCGGGGUGGCCUUGUCAAUCCUGGGGUUAUCAGGACUACUGUUUAUUCAACCCUAACUUCAGCUGCCACUCAAACCCUGCUAACGCUUUCUGUGUGUGUGUGUGUGUGUGUGUGUGUGUGUGUGUGUGUGUGUGUGUGUGCGUGCGUGCGUGCGUGCGUGUGUGCGUGCGUGCGCUUGCUUACAUAUAUGUGUGUGUGUGUGUCACUCUACCCUGCCCUUGUUGUUACUAUAGGAAACAAACCAUCACACUGCAGUGUAUCACAGGGUGGACCAGGCUAUCAGGCGCUGGGCUCACUCUUGCAUACUACACUCCAAUGAGAACAGUCAUACUUCCCCCCUCGUUCUUUUUUUUCUUUCUUGGCGUGCUCAGAACAGAUGUGUCAGCGUCUGGACCACUGCUAACUGCUCAGCCCCCCAUUCCCCAUUCCCCUUAUACUUUUCUCUCUCCCUCCCCCUCUCCCUCAUUCGUUUUGUUCUAGUUGUUCUGAGAAAGGAUAUGUUUGAUGUUUUCCACAGCUCCUCAGUGGGGGUGUAGGGGUGGGGGUUAAGAGGUUGCAGCGAUGCUCUUGUCAUAGACAUUAGCGUGUUCAUGGAAAGCUGAGCCUUUCAGUGGACAGUCUGAAUGGAAAGGUACUGUACGUACCACAUGCUGGGAGGGGUGUGUGUGUGUGUGUCCUGAUAGCACAGCACAUAAGGCAGACAGAGAAAACUAGACACAGGUUAUCAACUGAUGGGAUGUGAAAACAGCAUAUCCUCUGUGAACCUAUACACUCUUAGAAAAAAGGGCUCCAAAAUUGUUCUUUGGUUGUCCCCAAAGGAACCCUUUGAAGAACCCUUUGGUUCCAGGUAGAACUAUUUUGGGUUCAAUGUAGAACCCUCUGUGGAAAGGUUCUAUCUGGAACCCAAAAGGGUUCUUCAAAGGGUUCUCCUACGGGGACAGCGAAAUAACCGUUUUAGGAUCUGGAUAGAAAAAAAGGUGCUAAGUGUAGGGAGGGAGAGAAGGAGGGAGAGACGGAGGAAGGCAGUGAGGGAAGGAUGGACAGAGGGAGGGGUUUGGGGAGGGUGAAAGAAAGAGGGAAGGAGAAGGAAGUUAUACUUCUAGUAUCAUACUAUCCAUCCCUGCCACAGCAGACCCGGGAUUCAAACCAAUUUAAAACUAGACUAGACUUGCUCAGUGUAACAACCGGCCAUGACCGGGAGUCCCAUAGGGUGAUGC
rnacentral:lncRNA from 1 species